GACGAACGCUGGCGGCGUGCUUAGCACAUGCAAGUCGAACGGAAAGGCCCUGCUUUUGUGGGGUGCUCGGGUGGCUAACGGAUGAGUAACACGUACGUAACUUGCCCUUGCCUUUGUUCUAACUUCCGGCAACUAAGGCUAAUACCGGCUAGGAGCUCCUGCUGCGUGGUAGGGGUUGGCUAGGUUCGGCGGUUGGGGAUGGACUCGCGGCUGAUGAGUUUGUUGGUGGGGUAGUGGCUUGUCAGGGCUUUGACGGGUUGCCGGGCUGAGAGGGUGACCGGCCACAUGGGGAGUGAGCUACGGCCGAGACUCGUACGGGAGGCAGCAGUGUGGAAUAUUGCACAAUGGGCGGAAGCCGGAUGCAGCAACGCCGCGUGCGGGAUGACGGCCUUCGGGUUGUAAACCGCUUUCGCCUGUGAUGAAGCGUGAGUGACGGUAAUUGGUAAAGAAGCACCGGCUAACUACGUG
rnacentral:rRNA from 1 species